UACAGAGACUGCGAGCGUUAUUCGGAUUCACUGGGCGUAAAGGGUGCGCAGGCGGCCAAGUGUGUGAGGCGUGAAAGCCUGGGGCUUAACUCCAGAAUUGCACCUCAAACUACAUGGCUAGAGCAUUGGAGAGGGUAGCAGAAUUCACGGUGUAGCAGUGAAAUGCGUAGAUAUCGUGAGGAAUACCAGAGGCGAAGGCGGCUACCUGGACAAUUGCUGACGCUCAAGCACGAAAGCGUGGGGAGCAAAAGGG
rnacentral:rRNA from 1 species